rnacentral:tRNA from 2 species
CGGGCUGGAGUAUGCUGGUAGUACGCCUGCUUUGGGAGCAGGCAGACUGGGUUCGAUUCCCAGCAGCCCGA